rnacentral:rRNA from 1 species
UACAGAGGUCUCGAGCGUUGUUCGGAUUCAUUGGGCGUAAAGGGUGCGUAGGUGGCACUGUAAGUCGGGUGUGAAAUCCUGAGGCUUAACCUCGGAACUGCAUUCGAUACUGCGGUGCUUGAGGACUGGAGAGGAGACUGGAAUUUACGGUGUAGCGGUGAAAUGCGUAGAUAUCGUAAGGAAGACCAGUGGCGAAGGCGGGUCUCUGGACAGUUCCUGACGCUGAGGCACGAAGGCCAGGGGAGCAAACGGG